rnacentral:lncRNA from 1 species
UUUGCAUAUCUAUUAAUUUUUUUUAAAUCUUUUUGCAGUCGUGCAGGGAUUUUUGAAAAACAAGAUUUUGAAGGAGAGGAUUUGAAGAACAUGAGUUCAAGCCAGCCUCUUGAAUGUGACUGCCAAGAAUCUAAAGACAGUUCUUGGCCUAGAGGUGGAAGAGGUGUGACUGCAAGCCCCAUGAAGAAAUCGCGCUAUUCCAGCCCAUGAAUGAGACCUUCAUCAUACGGACAGGAGACAGGUUACAAAUGAGAGGAUUUAGCCCAUUUUCACAAUUUGGUUCAUAAUAUUUGUUCAAUCUGAGGAUCUUGAUCUUGUCCUGCAGUGUCUUGAAAGAAGGUUGUCUUGUCUUAGGCCAAGCAGAUGUUAGUCUGCAUUUUGCUGGGAAAAUUGAUUUAUAUUUGUAUGCCCUUCUACUGCCAGUUCUGUUCUGAGUGAGACAUCUUUCUUAGAUGUGACUGAAGAGAGAAAAUCUAUAAACAAGCA